rnacentral:rRNA from 1 species
CGACCGGCGGACGGGUGCGUAACGCGUAUGCAACCUGCCUGACACAGGGGGAUAAUCCGAAGAAAUUUGGUCUAAUACCCCAUAAUACCGAUAUAGGCAUCUAUGUUGGUUGAAAGCUUUGGUGGUGUCAGAUGGGCAUGCGUUGUAUUAACUAGUUGGUGAGGUAACGGCUCACCAAGGCGACGAUACAUAGGGGGACUGAGAGGUUAACCCCCCACACUGGUACUGAGACACGGACCAGACUCCUACGGGAGGCAGCAUG